rnacentral:rRNA from 1 species
UACGUAGGGAGCAAGCGUUGUUCGGAUUUACUGGGCGUAAAGGGCGCGUAGGCGGCGCGGUAAGUCACUUGUGAAAUCUCUGAGCUUAACUCAGAACGGCCAAGUGAUACUGCAGUGCUAGAGUGCAGAAGGGGCAAUCGGAAUUCUUGGUGUAGCGGUGAAAUGCGUAGAUAUCAGGAGGAACACCGGUGGCGAAGGCGGGUCUCUGGGCAGUAACUGACGCUGAGGAGCGAAAGCGUGGGGAGCGAACAGG